rnacentral:rRNA from 1 species
UGAGCAAUCUGCCCUUCUCAUCGGAAUAAGCGUUGGAAACGACGUCUAAUGCCGAAUACGACCUCCUUUCGCAUGAUCGGAGGUGGAAAGCUCCGGCGGAGAAGGAUGAGCUCGCGGCCUAUCAGCUAGUUGGUGUGGGUAAUGGCCCACCAAGGCGACGACGGGUAGCCGGCCUGAGAGGGUGACCGGCCACACUGGGACUGAGACACGGCCCAGACCUCCGUACGGGGAGCAG